rnacentral:rRNA from 1 species
UACGUAGGGUGCAAGCGUUGUCCGGAAUUAUUGGGCGUAAAGAGCUCGUAGGCGGUUUGUCGCGUCUGCUGUGAAAACUGGAGGCUCAACCUCCAGCCUGCAGUGGGUACGGGCAGACUAGAGUGCGGUAGGGGAGAUUGGAAUUCCUGGUGUAGCGGUGGAAUGCGCAGAUAUCAGGAGGAACACCAAUAGCGAAGGCAGCUCGCUGGGACGUUACUGACACUGAGGCGCGAAAGCGUGGGGAGCGAACAGGG